UACAGAGGUCUCAAGCGUUGUUCGGAUUCAUUGGGCGUAAAGGGUGCGUAGGUGGCGCGGUAAGUCGGGGUGUGAAAUUUCGGAGCUUAACUCCGAAACUGCAUUCGAUACUGCUGUGCUUGAGGACUGGAGAGGAGACUGGAAUUUACGGUGUAGCAGUGAAAUGCGUAGAGAUCGUAAGGAAGACCAGUGGCGAAGGCGGGUCUCUGGACAGUUCCUGACACUGAGGCACGAAGGCCAGGGGAGCAAACGGG
rnacentral:rRNA from 1 species